GUUCAUGUGCUUGGCUGAUAAGCCAAUGGUGCGAAGCUACCAUCUGAGGGACUAUGACUGAACGCCUCUAAGUCAGAAUCCCGCCUGGAAAGCGACGAUGCAUUCGUGCCUCGGCCUCGAGAGGCGUAGCUAGACGGCCGUGUGGCCGUGGAAAGAGCCCGAUUCCGACCCGAGAGGCCGCGGCAAGAGGCGGCCUCGAAGUCGGUGGAUCCUCCUGCUCGAAAGGCGGGGUGCUAAACCAUUCGCAGACGACCUAGUUGAAGAUCGGGGUGUCGUGAUCACUAGAGCAGUACAUCUCACUGCGAUUUGUUGAGAGUAAGCCUCAAGAUCUGUCGGUUUGU
rnacentral:ncRNA from 1 species